ACUCCUGCGGGAGGCAGCAGUGGGGAAUUUUGGACAAUGGGCGAAAGCCUGAUCCAGCAAUGCCGCGUGCAGGAUGAAGGCCUUCGGGUUGUAAACUGCUUUUGUACGGAACGAAAAAGCUCCUUCUAAUACAGGGGGCCCAUGACGGUACCGUAAGAAUAAGCACCGGCUAACUACGUGCCAGCAGCCGCGGUAAUACGUAGGGUGCGCGCGUUAAUCGGAAUUACUGGGCGUAAAGCGUGCGCAGGCGGUUAUGUAAGACAGAUGUGAAAUCCCCGGGCUCAACCUGGGAACUGCAUUUGUGACUGCAUGGCUAGAGUACAGUAGAGGAGGAUGGAAUUCCGCGUGUAGCAGUGAAAUGCGUAGAUAUGCGGAGGAACAACGAUGGCGAAGGCAAUCCCCUGGACCUGUACUGACGCUCAUGCACGAAAGCGUGGGGAGCAAACAGGAUUAGAUACCCUUGUAGUCCCAU
rnacentral:rRNA from 1 species